AGUAUCAUAAUAUUCUCAAUUUUAUAAAAUUAUUCAGCAGCUGUUUUAUAAAAGACUGCAUUACCCGAGAGUUCUAAGUAUUAUUAUUUAUAUAUACUGCAUUAAAAUCAGAAAAUUAUAUGGUUUACCAUCUUUUUAGAGGACGUUUUAUCUUUGUAUCCGCUACCGGCGGCUCGCGCUGAAGCUCAUCCGCGCAGCAGCAGUCACGCGCGCGCCGCCGAGCUCUUCUCUCUGCUCGCGGAGGCGUUUGACGUACUGAGCGACCACUUCUUCACCAAUGAUGGCAGUGAGGACAACGCAGCUUUUAAGAGCUUGCGUGGGCAAAAAGAAAAUCUGCAGGAUCCACCAAUUGAGAGAGACCUUCACCUUGCCUUGGAGGACCUUUAUUAUGGAUGCACUAAAAAAAUUAAGAUAUCCCGUAGGGUCAUGAAUGAAGAUGGACACACAUCCAGCAUCAGGGACAGGAUUUUAACCUUCACUGUAAAAGCAGGAUGGAAUGAAGGGACACGGAUCACAUUUCCAAUUCACAAUUUUAUUUCAAUGUGUUUGUAAAUUGAUCUUGGUCAUCACAGAGUGUUGUAUGUUUUUUUUCCCUCUCUCUACACAGGGACCAAACAACAUCCCAGCAGAUAUUGUUUUAUCAUACGCCAAAAGCAUCAUCCAUGCUUUGUCCUCCAAAAUGAUAAUCUGUACUACACAGCACAUAUUUCCCUUGAGAAGGUGAAAAACAUUGUUUUCGGCACCGGCAAAAAAUGUAUUUCAUGUAGAAUAUUGUAGAUAAAUAGAUUAUGAUUUUGUUUUUGUUUUUUGGUCUAGUUUUCAUGUUGAAUAUUUGAUAGGCUUUUUAAUCAGACCAACAUGAUAUUAAAAAUAAACAAAAGCUUAAGUUUAUUUGAAAUUAUAUUUUAGUAUAAUAGGAUUUUGUAUAUUUAUAUUUGUGGCAACUCUGCAGGCUUUGAUUGGUUUCUCAGUAGAAGUCAAGACACUAGAUGGCAGGCUUCUCAACAUCCCCAUCAAUGACAUUGUGCAGUGAGUAACCAUUUCUUUCUGUAGCCUACACAGGUCAGAUAAUAGACAAGUCAGUACACGUUUUGUUACUCCAAACUUUUGAAUGUGGUUUUCAUAUUCAAGAUGAUUUUAACUUCUUUACACUACAGCCCUAAGUACACCAAUGUUGUGACCGGGGAGGGAAUGCCACUAGUCAACAACCCAUCCAAGAGAGGGGACCUUAUCAUUCACUUCAUUACACAUUUCCCAGAGAAGCGCUCACCUGAAAAGAAACCGC